UUUCCGUAGGUGAACCUGCGGAAGGAUCAUUAUCGUAUAACCGAGGUGCGAGGGCUGUCGCUGACCCGAAAGGUCGUGCACGCCCGAGUGCCCUCACACACAUCCAUCUCACCCCUAUGUGCACCACCGCGUGGGUCCCCCUUUGGCUUGUUCGGAGGGGGGCUUACGUUUUCACACAAACCCCCCUUUUAAAAGUGUAGAAUGACCACAUUUAUGCAAUCAAUACAACUUUCAACAACGGAUCUCUUGGCUCUC
rnacentral:misc_RNA from 1 species